AGUUUGACAGGAAGAUGAAUCAACAAAGGAUAAUGCUUCCACUGGUAUGGAACAAUCAGAGCCCAUCCACUCUUUUGUACAAAUGCAACUGAAAUGAUUAGUAUUUUAUAAGUAAACGAGGGCUAGAACUGGUUAUUGGAUAAAUUGCAGUUUCUGUUCGUAAUUCAAUAUCAAAUAUACAACCAGAAAAUCCAGUAUGAAGAGGCAAAUCAUGGGUUGCUGUCGUUGUUAUAGCAUUCAAAGGGAUGCUUGUAAAUAUUCUACGAACACCUAUAAAGCAUUCUCAUGAAAUAUAUAUAUAAGUAAAAGAGGAAUAAGCUAAUUAAAAUACUGGCAGGAGGAAACUUGAUAUAAAUUUUAGCGGAGAAACACACUAUAUGAAGAUUUCAUAUAUCUAAAAU